CAAGAUUUAGAGCAAUAAGGGAAAAACAAGACCACAUUCACACAAUGAGUUGGAGGGGCUAUGCUCGUUUGACUCACAUUAUGGAAAAGACAAGUCCGAUGGAUACAAAAAUUACGAGAUCGCAAGUUUGGAUUGAAGGUCACAAGAGAAAAAAUGGGGAGCCCAGUACUCAAGCCGUUGGAGAGAAAAUGAAAAAAAUAUUAGAAUGUCCACCCGAAUCUCAAAACACAACUAAUAUUGCUGAUGAUGCAAUUAGCAUUGUGUUUGGCAAUGAAGCUCGGGGUAGAGUGCGUGGAAUGGGCUUUGGAGUAACACCAUCG